ACAUCCAGCGAACUUGGCAGAGAUGCCUUGGUGCCUUCGGGAACGCUGAGACAGGUGCUGCAUGGCUGUCGUCAGCUCGUGUUGUGAAAUGUUGGGUUAAGUCCCGNAACGAGCGCAACCCUUAUCCUUUGUUGCCAGCGAUUCGGUCGGGAACUCAAAGGAGACUGCCGGUGAUAAACCGGAGGAAGGUGGGGAUGACGUCAAGUCAUCAUGGCCCUUACGAGUAGGGCUACACACGUGCUACAAUGGCGCAUACAAAGAGAAGCGACCUCGCGAGAGCAAGCGGACCUCAUAAAGUGCGUCGUAGUCCGGAUCGGAGUCUGCAACUCGACUCCGUGAAGUCGGAAUCGCUAGUAAUCGUGGAUCAGAAUGCCACGGUGAAUACGUUCCCGGGCCUUGUACACACCGCCCGUCACACCAUGGGAGUGGGUUGCAAAAGAAGUAGGUAGCUUAACCCUCGGGAGGGCGCUUACCACUUUGUGAUUCAUGACUGGGGUGAAGUCGUAACAAGGUAGGCGUAGCGAG
rnacentral:rRNA from 1 species